CGGGACCCGGGCGCCGCCCCCGGGCGGGGAUGCCCUGCGCUCGCCCCGCCGCCCCGAGCGCCCGCACCAGUCGGCGAAAGCUGAUGACCCGUUGCUUAGCCCAUUGCUGUCAAGUUGAUUCCUGUUCCUACCAGAAGGCUAUGAGACUGCCUAUUUCUCUGCACCCUCACAACUCCAUGUAAUGGUUGUCAUCUUUACCAAUCUAAUAAAUGAAAAAUAGCGUCUCAUAUCUCUUUAAUGUCUUAUUUAUUGAGGUUGAACAUUUCUUCUGUUUAUUUUGUGGGCUGUGUGUUUAUGGUCUUUGGGUUGUUAAGAGUUUUUAUUUAGUGACGAGCAUGUUUAACAAGUCUGAAAGCCCUCUCUGCUGGCAAGUUCCCUUACCACAAAUAUUUUAACGUGUAUUCUAGUCAAGAGAUGAAAAGUAUACAUUGGGAACAAUACCUUAACAGAUUGUUGAAUAGGACAGGAUAAAUAUGUGUCACAAAAGAUAUGCUAAAGAGCUCAGUACAAAGGUAGAGAUGGAGAGGAGUAGGAAAGGCUCUUUGUAAAUGGCAAGGCCUGGACCUUGAAAAAGGUGGCCUAUGGAUGGUCCAGAGGAAGAAGAGCUGUCCAAUACAGAGGAAAGCAGGAGGCAGUGCUGACAUGUGAAGUGAAUGAUUAAAAGAAGAGAGAAGGCUCUGCUGAGCAACAGAAAAUACAAAGCUGCUAAGGCCAGAAGUCAUGGAAAAGCUCGAAAGAAAAAGUUUAUGGCAAACAGUCAGGUAGCCAAAUGGUGAGACAUUUUAGGAAUACUCAUCUAGAAUGAACGUGCAAAAUGGACUGAAGCUGGAGUGACAAGAUGACUUCAAUAAGUGUUUUGUUGUGUCUUUUUGGUGGGAGGAAUAGCUAGACUGAGGCCCUUGAUAAGACUAUGAAGGUGGGAAUAAAGGGGGACAAAUUCAAAAGCAUAAAUAAAUAGUACUUCAUGGUGGUUAUGAAAUGUAAAGGAGAGAAAGGGGAGGGACAAAGGGUUCUGAAACAUAAAGUAGGCUAGAAUUGAUGUCUGUAACAGAACUUAGGAAACAGAACUAGGUUUAAGGGGGGAGUAAAAAAUGAUGAGUUUGGCUUAGGAGAAAAAGAAGUCUUCAAUGGUAACUGCUACAUGCAAGUGUACUCUAGGCUGUAAAACUUCAGUAAUCAAGAUGUUGCUGUGGGAGAUAUCUGCAUGGCAAUGACAGCUGAAGUAAUGAAAUUAAGUAAUUAGAAAGGUGACUUUGGAGUUGCCCAAAGGGAGCGGACACAUGUAAUACUUGUGUGUCAGUCAUGAGGUAGCAGAGAAUGUCUAGAGGUGAGCCCCAUCUCCCUCUUCAUGCCUUUGCACACCCACCUGUAUUAUCGUUUGUGCUGUUCUUCAAGAUGAGUGGUCUGGCUUUGAAACAGCCAGGUUUCCAUGUGGUCCACGGACAAGCAGGCUGGAACCAUUUGUAAUUGAGGAAGAUUGACCAUCUGUGUGAUACUUUAUACUUUACCAAAAUGUCUUCUCAUCCAUUAUUUUUGCAUCAUGAAACUUCUGAGUUGAAAGAGGCCGUUAACAUAAUGUGGUCCAUCUCCAGUUUAAGGAUGAGGAAACUAAAACCCACUAAGGAAAGUGAAAUGAUUUGCGUAGUGUCACACAAAGUGGUAGUGGAGAAAACAACUCUUAGUUUUCAAGAGAAGUCACUGCUCAAGUGGCUAGAGUCCUUUCCCAUGUGUGCAGUUAGUCAAUCCUCAUUAUUCAUGGAGUCUAUAUUUAUGAAUUUGCCUACUCAGUGAAGUUUAUUUCUAACCCCAAAAUCAAUACUUGUGGCAAAUUUGCAGUCAUUUAUGGGCAUGUACAGGGUGGGAAAAAUUUGAGUCACCUGACACACGUUCCCAGCUGAGGUUGAAUAAGGUGACACAAAGCUCUCCUAUUGUAAACAACUGUACCAUUUACAGCCCAUCUAGUACCACGUUUUCUGCAGUUUCGUGCUUUUUGUUGAUUUCCCUGUUUAAAAUAGCCCCUAGCAUAGUGCUGAAGUGCUGUCUAGUGUUCCUAAGCUCAAAAGGCUGCAGUGGGCCUUCAUGAUAAAAAUGCAUGUUAGAUAAGCUUCAUUCAGGCUUGAGUUGUAGUGCUGUUGGCCUUGAGUUCAAUGCUAAUGAAACUAUAUUAAAUAUGGUGUCUUUAACAUAAGUGGGGUGGCUCAGUGGUUAAGAGCUCGACUGCUAGCCAAGAGGUCGGGAGUUCUAAUUUACCAGCCACUCCUUAGAAACACUACGGGCAGUUUUACUCUGUCCUAUAGGGUCACUAUGAAUUGGAAUCAACCGGACGGCAAGGGUUUUUUUGUAGAUAUAAACACACAUAAAACAAGGUUAUGUGUUGAUUGGUUGAUAAAAAUAUCAUGAGAAGCUUACAGAAACCUAACCUUGUAUUUCAUCUAGGAGCAAUUGUUCAGUAUUUGCUAAUUCAAUGUUUGCAGUGACUUUAUGGAACAUAUGUACUGCAAAUUAACAAAAAUCAACUGCGUUUCCAGAGCUCUGAAAGGAGGUGAGGCAUGGAGACUAAAAAGGACUCUCCUCUCCUCCACAUAGCUGCUAAAAUGCACAGAUCACCACUAUAUUAUCUUUGAAGAAUUUGUUACUUUUUUUUUUCUUGGUUAAAAGCUUUUAUAUUUCCAAUCUGUUUUGAAGAAUCUCAGUACUUUUCAGAAAUGUCAGUGUCCUUAUAAAGACAUCUCAAACAUUUCAUUUGUUUUCCUUUUAUGAUCUAUAAUUCUUUACUCCUCUGACAUGUUUUUUGUCACCUUUCUACUGGCAGAGAGUUAUUUUUCCAGAAAAGAGGCUAUAAGUCACUGUUUUCAAUAAAAUGAUAUAAUGCCAAGAGGUUUCUUUCCACUAAUGUGAUAUCAAAAUGACAAUAUGUACCUUCUGCAGUUUUCUAAAUUAAAAACAAGCAUAUUAACAAUAUUUAAUGUGACACAGUAUAAAUUCCAUGUAAAAUUAUUUAAUUUCCUUAUACCUACUGCAUUAUUUUUAGAACUUAUAGUAAAUCAGGAGCUAAAGAAAUUCCAGCAGGUUUGUAGAUUUAGGAUGGCUUCGUUGGAGAAAUUUUUUACAGACAUUGUUGAAACUUUAGGAGGAGGUGGACUUACAGCCACUUGGUAUCUUUUUGAGCAACUGUUCCAAGAAUAUCUGCUUUGCUAUUUUUUCUCAUUGAAUGUGUCACUUCAGUAAAUGUAGGCCUUAUACUACCAAGUCGCUGGUCAUUUGUCUCUCAAAGUUUUUUUCUUUCCUGAGUUGUCAUCUCACCUGUCACCUUGCACCCCAAUGGCAACAAGAGACAUCUGCUUUUAAAAUAUAUAAUUCCACUUCUUCACUCUAGCACAGUACCUUGCACUAGGUAAAGAAUUCAAAUAUCCAGUAAAAUAAACAAUCAGUUUGUAAUCAUCAUCAAAACACUCUCUUCUCCUAUUACCAUGGAUUUUAACAAAUGACUCCUUUCUGUUGUAUAUAGGGUCGCUAGUUUUUUUUUUUUAUAAGUCAGAACCAGCUCAACGGCACCUAACUUAACCUUUGCUAUCUUGUUUAGUUCUCACAAUAAUCUUGUGAGUUAGUUAGACUCUCCAUUUUAAAGAUGCAAAAACAAGGUCCAGGAGUUAAAGUAACCAGCACAAGGUCAAACUGUUAGUUGCAGAGCCAGAAUCCUUGGUCUACCUGGCUGCAAAUACUGAGCCAUUCCACUACAUCCUUGCUACUCUUCUGAAGGUUAAAAAAAGAAAAGCCUAUCGAUUGGGAAGGUUUCUCCAUCCCCUCAUGAAACCAGGGAGGUGUUCUGUAAGAAACCCUGUAUGACACUGAACUAAGACCAUUCCAUACAUUAUUGUUGAAGAUAUUCUGAACCUUUUAAGAAUUAAGAAGCUGGUUAAAGUUACCACUAAUUAGGUAGACUUUUUACUUAAAUAUCUGUAUGUCUCAAUUGCUGGCAAUCUCAUUUACUUCAGCCCCUACACUUAUAUGAAUCUGCAGCUUUAGGUUACAGAAUUUUAAAUCUAGAUUAUGUAUGAAAAGAUCCUCCCAUUUCACAGAUGAGGAAACCAGAAAGGUUAACUAAUUUGUUCAGCAAAUUUUAUCCAGUUAUUAAGUUCUAGAUUUGGCCCUGGCCCAUAUUUAAAUGUGAAAAGAAUAUCACAUUUUGCAAAUAAGAUUAUGAUUCAUUCAUACACAACUGGCUUGUGUCAAUACCAGUAUUUAUGUACUUCAAAUGCACAGUUAUAACUCAACAGAAAACCAUGUUCGAUUUAAUACCUUGAAGUAGCUACAUCCUAUUUAUGUAAUGUCUAAAAAAAAGCCAUUUCUAAUUUCCACAGAACUUUCAGUUUGGGACCAGCAGCCUGGCUCGUAGCACUAGCUGAAUGUUAGCUUAGCAACUGGCUUCUGCUCAAGCAAAAUAUUUCCACAGCUUGGUGUUAAAAGUUUACUGCCCUUUCAGUCCAAAAAUUUAAUAAAAAAAUAAACCUCAAAGGAAACAAAUUUAUGAUUUUCUAAACAAAAGUUGAUAAUUCUCUAAGCUUAACUAUUUUUUCAUGUAACAUUUUAAAAAUAUUGUGCAACUAUAUGUAUACUAUAUACAAUUGUACUCUAUUUAAAGAUUCCAGGUAUGGUACUUACCUAGUUAUGAAACUGCAACAUAUGAUUUGUAGAACUUGGAGAAUUCAUAACGAGAUGGAACCAGUGAGGAAAGGGUUAGGAGUGAAAUCUGUUACAAGGCAUGUGAGAAGGAACUCACAUUAAUAAGCGUAUUUGGUAUUUAUACGGCCUUAAGUGUAGUUUUGGGUAGUUUUAGUACAGACCUCAGUUACGUGAAGUGAUAAUAAAUAGGUAGCAAUAAGUAGCUAUGCUCAGUAACCCCCUGAAUACAAACCAAAAAUGAAAUGGUAACAGUCCAAAUCAAGAAAGAUAAAAAUGAGACACAAGAAAAACUUUCUAACUUGUGGAAUUUUGGGCUACCCUACUCAGGAUUCCUCUCCAGAUGUUUCUAAAAUGGAGAGGCUUAGGAAGAAUAUGGACAUAGUAAAAAUACCCAAACUGUUUGAAUACCACUUGUGACAGCUCAGGCCCUUCCUUAGCGCUAAGAUUUUGAAGCACAGAGUUUGUUGAGGGAAGUGGAAAGAAGAACCGUAGUACUUCCGUUAAGGACAGUCUGUCUUGACCUACGCAAUGGCCCGGGAUUCCAAAAGACCAACUAAACUUUUGCUAAGUUAGCAGAUGGCUGGAGAAAAUUCCUGAAAUGAGACUUCUAGAAAGACAGGAAGAAACACAGUGAUCUAGCAGACAUGCAAAAGAAUUUUCAAAGAUACAUUGUGUGCAUCAGACCACCUUUAUGAACACUAACAUAUCCUGUCCUACUAUUCUUAUCACUAGGUAAAAAAUACAGAGUCAAUCACAAAUCUCCUUGAAAUUUUAACAGAGAGGGAAGAGCUUACGUUUCUUUUUGGUCCUUAUAACAUAUGGCAUAUAUGUUCUUGGAUGAUGAGUACCACUUUGUGUGAAUUACCUGAUAAUGCAUUCAUUAAGGAUUGCUAACUCUACAAGCACAGUACCUUUGAAAGGCAUUUAUCUAUGGUAAGAGUUGGACAUUUGAAGUUUAAAACAUAGCUGCUUAUACUUUAGCUCAGUACCUUCUCCAUCCUCCUAUAAAAGAACGGACGCAUAAAACACCUUCAUCUAUAGUUUACAAAAAAAGUAAAUACCGUACUAGAUCACAGAGCUGCAGAAAAGCUGUAGUAAUCAUCUGGUCAAACUCCUCCCCAACUUUAUAAGUGAGGCAACUGCAGCCCUCACUCACAGAUUACGUAACUUGCCUAAAGUCUUUGGCUGUAUUAGCAAGGUUGGAACACAGGCCUCCUGCUUCUUGGUAUACUGUAAAUUUGAGGGCUGAACUCUUGAAAGGACUAACUUAUUUUAGCUAGAAAAACACUGCAUAGCUACUAUGCUACACUAGUCUUUAAAAAUUACAUAUUAAAAAGAUAAUGUUAAUCUUUGAUUUAAAAUUCCAUACCAACAAACUUGUGGUGUAUUGCAAUCAUUUUAUUAAUAUAAAGCAAUGGGAUAAAUCCUUUAACAGGAGUAUUGAUUCACUACCAUGAAUGCAUAUUGAUACUUCAGUGCAGUAUCAUGCUUGCUUGAGCCAAAUUAUGUGUGGAUUCCUUUCACUUCCACAUAUAAUAUAUAAAAACAUUUAUACUUCACUGAUCAACGGUAAAGCACCCAGCCAUGCACCUCCUCUUUCUGGUUUAAAUGCAUAUAAAUGCAUAUAUGAACACUUGGAUUUUACCACUCAAGGACUUCAUAAUAUAUGAGCAAGUUUUCAGAACACUAUUUCUGCCCUGUCAUUACUUUUUAAAUUAAAAAAAAAAGUGAUACUGUGGUACAAAAGACCUUUUUAUAAGGUCCUUUCUGGAGAAAUGUUGGAGAAUACAGUUAUAGUCCUAUAAUGACUGUAAUCAAGAUCAUCCUACAAGGACAUGCUGGUAGACUCACUCUCCUGGAGAGUUUUGAUCUUAUGAGGAAUACUAUAACGAUGGGUGAGGGAGAAUAUUUUAUAAAGGCAUUCCAGCAGAAGGCUCUCCUAGAGAGAUUUUUUAAAACAUAUUUCAAUCCUAUAAUGAUUGUAAUGAAGAUAACAUAGUUGGAGCAUUCUGCUGGAGAUUAAGUCUGCAAAGACAAAUAAUGUAAUUGUGUUCUGUCUGUGAAAAUAUAGAGGUCAUGAAAGCAGAAAAAUGUAGCACUAUAACAAAGAAUGAGGAAACACUCUUGAAGAAUAAACAAACACAUAAAAAUUUAAAAUGGUAUCUAAUAAAUUUUCAUGUCAACUCUUUUAACUAGACAUAAAAUUUUUAAAUGGCAAUGAAUAAAUCUUCAUGUCAAAUCUUUUAACAAAACCCACAAAUAGAUUAUAAAAAUUGAACAAUCAUUAAAUGUCCUAUGUAUAAAGUUUUAGGGGAAAGUUUAAAUUUCUAUAUUAUUCUUUUUAAUCAAAUACUUGAAUUUUAGUUACUGCUGAGGAGCAACUGAUACAUUUCUAAAAUAAUUCAGAUGGGAAGAUAACAUCACAAUUAUGGUUUGGCAUAGCAGCAUUCCAGUGAUCUUCAGUCAUCCACAAAUGUUAGCCGUCCAGGCCCUUCAUUCUUCAUCCAUCUCCUGUAUCUCUUCCAUCUAGGGUCAUUUGCCAGUUUUUUCUUCAGUUCUUCCUCUUGUUCUUGUUUGUAAACCUAGAAGUAUAAAUAACACCAACUGGCUUUACAAUCCAAAGAGAAACUUUGUCAUUAGCUUUAUGGCAUAUUUACAUUUUUAAAAUACAAUUUUAGGUAAAAGUUUCCAAUGAAUAUAUUGAUUUGUCUUCUAAAGACCCUUCAUAUAAAAAUACUAAACAAUUAAGCAUUUUGACAUUCAGGGUUAAAUAAAACAGAUCAACUUGUAUAAUAACUAGUUAUUUUUUGUUAUGGAUUUCUGUAUCCUAGAAAUACAUUUCUUUCCUUCUUGAAAUCAUAUAUAAACUGAGUUUAAAGAGUUUAAACACUUCCUUUCUACAAGUCCAUUGUUAAAGAAUCAACACUUUAUCUUUUAACAUGAUACACUAUAAAUUUAACUGAUGACUUUCAGUUAUUUGUUGAUCCUAACCAAGAAACAAAUCAACCUUACAUAUGUUUGUCUCCAAAUUGAACUUAUAUCUAUUUUCAUUUUCAAAGAUAAUUAUUCAUUUUUCAAAAUAUUUUUUGAUUAAAGUUCCUAAAGAAGGUUAAAUAAAUCACACAGGUUAAGAAUAAAGACCAUUCCCAUUCCUACAGCUUUCAGUGGAUGUCAACUGAAGUUAAACAGAACUCAUAGCCAGCUUAAUAGCCACAUCAAAUUUUAGAAAGAAAUUAUUUCAUUUCCAAAUAUUAGGAAGCAAUGGCUAAGAUAACCUUACAUUAGCAUUCAGUGAAAGACACAGUUUUGUGGAUGGGGCUACUUAACCUACUUAAAAGAAAACUUUUCAAAUAGCUUAGGAGCUAAAUAGUUCAUUACCUCUCAUUUUAAUGUUAUUUUUAAGCAAGCUGAAUAUAUCCACUUGUCAAAACAUUCUGGCAGUUCACUAUAAGUUAAUUUACUUAAAUAUAAUUCAGACUGAAAUUUUACUUUCAGUAAACUGUAUUUAGGACAUUACAUCUAAAAAGGAAUGGCUAUGAAACAAAAAAACUAAUACAUCUUGAUUUCUUAAGAAGGUUUCACUGUGGUCUAUUCUUAUAUUUAAUACAUGAACCAAUUAAUAUUGCCCAGAAUCUAAAACAAUAUCAUUAUGAUGAGACUGCUAGACCAUUUAGCAGUGUGGCUAGGUAGCUGAUCACAUCUAAGUAAUUUUUAUACUGACAGUUGUAGAAUAUAGCAUUUAUUAAAAUGCCAAGAGUUUGAGACACUACAGUAAGUAAAUUAAAAAUAACUUUCCACAUAUAUGUCAGUUAUCAAGCAGAAGACUCUGUGCUCAUUUAUUUUUAAAUGAACAAUUAUUUCAACAAAAUUUCUCUCUCUCUACUUUUUUGUUUGGUUGGUUUUUUUAAAUCUCUACCUAGGUCAUGUAACUGGAAGAAAACUUGGGGAGGACCAAAUUUUAGUUAGUAUAGUCAACAGAGCUGUCAUAACACCCCUGCAGAUUUAUAUCUUCUCAUCCCACUGCUGCUGAACACAUCAAAUUAGACCAUUCUUAGCUUUCUUCAGAAUUAAUCAACUUAAGUAUUUGAGAUUCAUCUUUUAAAAAGACAAUUUCCUAGUUAAUCCAUUGUCCCACUACCAGAUACACCCAUACUUUCAAUAUAAGGUCUUUAUUCGUUAUUUAACUCUUGGAUUUAAGAAUCUGAGCAUCCUUCUGUGACCCCUAUCACAUGCCUAAUUUUAACUUCGUAAAGACUGUGACACUAGAAUCACGGCAGAGGGAACACUCACCUCAUAAUUCUCCUUUAUCCAGAGCUCCCGUUUAAGAAAGGUUUCUUUCUGAUGAUCCUCUAGACUGUCAAACUGAGACUUCGACAUCUUCAUAGAUUUACGUAUGAUAUACAGUCUCUCUUCCUCUCCAUAUUCUUUGCCUUUGAUGUUAAAGUUAUAGACCCACCGGCAAUACCAGACUAUAUAUGAGCACAGGUGAAAAGGAGCCAAGAUAAUUUGGAACAGGAGAAGAUCACGGAUUUGGGGCUUCUGAUAGCCUCCCUUUAUAUCUAUUUUACUCUUGAUAAUAUUCUUUAUGAUGUUCUCCUCCUCAUCACGAAUUUCCUCUUUGGACUUUUUGUUUCUGCCUUUUUCUUUGGCUUUUUUUAGCAGUCCCUGCUGCUUGGCGAUUUCUGUAGCUUGGAUACGGUACUUGGGCACUGUGGCUAGGUAGCUGAUUGCCUUAUUGUAGCUAUUCCACCAGCUGAAAAACUAGAAUAUUUAACAAAAAUGAGUCAUUUUUAUUACCAAAAUUCACCUACACCAAAGCAAUGGUAGAGAGUCUUGAUGAAUACUAUCACCCAAGAAACCUGUUCUGAUUAACUAAUAAGGUUCUCAAAGAUAUAACACAUAAAAGAUACAACUGAGUAGAAACUACCCAAGUGUCAAGUGUCCAUCAACAGAUGAAUGGAGAAACAAAAUGUGGUAUAUCGAUACCAUAAAGAGGAAUGAAGUUCUGAUAUGUGCUACAACAUGGAUGAACCCUGACAAUAUUAUGUUAAGUGAAGUAAGUCAGAUGUAAAAGGGCAAAUACUGUGAUUCCCCUUACAUGAAAUAUCUAUAAUAUAUAAAUGCCUAGAGACAAAAGUUUGUUAGUGGCUACCAGGAGCUGGGGGAAGGGGGAAAUGGAGAGUUACAGCUUAAGGGGUACUGAGUUUCUGUUUAGGGUGACAAGAAACAUCUGGAAGUAUAUAGUGGUGAUGGUUGCACAACAUGAUGAGUGAAAUUAAUGUCACAGAACUGUAAACUUAAAAAUGGUUAAAACGGCAAAUGUUUUUUUACAUAUUUUAUCACACACACACACAAAGAUGCAACUGAACAAUGCUGAGGUGUGCUCCAGAAUGCGAUCUCAAGGUGGGUAAGGUAACCCUGAGCUGAGCCAAAAUGCCACAGAUUCAGACAGAAGGUACCCAAGGUGAGAGGAUGGACAGAUGGGAUAACACCACAUCUGUGGUUCCACAUCAUUAUCAUUUGGCUCUCCCCCAGACCGCUACUAAGACACCUUCCUGUUCUUUAUGCUGCAGUUUACUUAUCGGAGGCAGAGUUAAAUUGCAAAAACCAACUGGUGAGGAAUUAGAAAAUCCACAGGGUACAGCCUCAGGCAACUAUAUUCAUUCCUAUCUCUUUCCUAAACCAUCUGCACAUACUACAGUAAUGUCCAUCAUGUCCUGAACUGAAAGAUUCAAGUAUGUUUGAGCUCUCUUUUUGGGGCAGGAAGACAUUAAAUUACUUCAUAAAUAUAUUCAACCACAAAAAGUUUUAUUAACUGUCAGAAAAGCCCUGCCCCUCACGCAGUCCCUCCACACAGUUCAGGUGCAAUUUUAGUGAAUGAAUGCAGCAGUUAUACCAAUAAUAUCCUGAAGGAUUAUAAUAGAAAUUUAUUAGGGCUAACAACCAAAAAAAAUUAACUAGGGUAUUACAUUAUCUAAAGCAGAAAACUAAAAUGAUCUGUGCUCUUUCCUUUGAAAGGGCAAUACUUCUACAAAAGCUGAUAUGUUUAAAAUAUGCAACUUCAGUCUUCAACAGAAAUUCUUUUAUCAUAUAAACUGAACCUCAUUUCUGGGAAUUAAACUGGAGAAGUAAUUUUCAAGCUAGCAAAUUGCUUCACUUUAGUCACUUGUUCUUUUCCUCUCAAGAAGGACAUGAUAGAUAAACGGUUAGUUUAAGAAUAAUUAGGAAAAUUCAUUUCAAGCUGAAGUUAAAUUUUUUGAUAUUUCAAAACAACGUAACAAGUUAUUGUAGCUCUUUUACUUUAUUUCAGUGGUUCUCAACAUGAGCAGAAGCACCCUUAGGGAAACGUGGGACAUUUUUGGUUGUCACAAUGGUGGGGAGUGCUACUGGCAUUUGGUGGAUGGGAGCCAGGAUGUUAACCACACUGCAUACAUAGGACAGUCCCAUACAUGGAAGAAUAUUUCUGCCAUGAAAACGAAAAGCUCUUCUGCUGAGAAACACUCAAAUUGUUCUCCUUCAACUUGAAAUGUUAACAGCAAAGGAAGGUUACACUGAGGAACUGACAUUUAAGCUGAGAUUAGAACAUAAUUAAGUAGCCAGCAAGGCAAAGUUUAAGUGGAAAGAGUGUUCCAGACAGAGAAAACUGCAUGUACAGUAUAGUAUAGGUAGGCUCUGACUAGGUGAACGCCUGGUGUUCCACGAACUGAAAUAUGACCACUGUGCUUCAGUAGACUCAGUGAGUUGACUCUAUCCUCAUGAACAGCUCAACAGGACAGCUGAGAAGUAGGUAGGGGCCACAUCAUAUCUGCCUUGGUAGGCCAUAUUAAAAAGUUCAGGUUUUUCUGAAAUUUAAUGGUAGGUAAAUUAUUGAAAAGUUCUACAAAGGCAAAUAUGAAGCAGUUGACAUUCACUCUGGCUAUGAUGUGGAAAAUACUCUAAAAGGGGGCAAGAGAAGAGAUCAGGGGUUUCUUUGUUUUGUUUUGUAUAGCUAUAUGAUGACAUUCACCAUCAAUUUCCUAGAUUUCCCACUGACAAAGAUUCCAAUACUAUUGAUUGGUUGAAUAAAUGAAUAUUUUGCUAAUGUGAAAAAAUUAAUCUGGAACUAAAAUUUUACAAAUGGUACUUAUAAAAAAAAUUUUUUUUUUAGCUCAGUUUUAAUGACUAGCACUAAGCUAGUAUACUUGUACAUAUACACACAGAUACGUAUACCCAAUACAUACCUGAAACACUGAAAUAGCACAAACACUGACCAAAAUCACAACUCUAACAUCCACUUUAGGGGCUAAACGCCUGCGAUAGUAGUGGUAGUAAUGGCUGUAGUACUCUUCUGGAUGAUCCAGCAGGUAGUCAUAAUCUUUUCGUGUGUCUUCAUCCUGUAAGAUAACACAAUAUCCAAUUUCAUAGGACAUUUCAUGAAAUGGCCUUAAUUUAGAAUCUGUUAAGUUCAAUUUAGAAUUUUAUAAUUACGUAAGAUGAAGCUGAGUAAAAUUAACUGUCAAAAAAUAAAAAUUCCCAUCACUUUUCAGAGACAGACAAAACUUAUCCCUAGAGCUUUAAUAUUAGACAGAAAGCAUAAUAAAAAUAUUUUCCCAAAAUUCUUGAGUAUUGUUGGUUCUCUAGGAAAAAUAAAAACACAUCAGUAAAAUUACCCAUGCUUUUUAAGCCAGUUUUGUGGUACUAAGGAUGUUGUUAUGUUCCUGUAACUUAUUGACAUCUACUCUCAUAACCAUUCAUAUAAAAUGUGUCUCUCUGUUGUAUAUAUUCACAAUCAUGUUCUAGCCUUGUGAAGAAAGUUUUCUGUUGCAAGCCACAAUUAAGACACCAAAAAGUAGAUGAAGCCACUGUGUGCCUACAAAACUGAAUUAAAUUCAUCUCAAACACUGAAAAAUCAAUGCAGUAGAAUAAAGAGAGCAUUGGUCAAAGUCUAUAUACUUCAGUUUACUAGCUUUGUGACCCUCAGCAAAAUUUUUAGCCUCUCUGAGCCUUACUCUAAUUCAUUUGUAAAACACAGAUAAUAAUACCUGCCCUACUAAUUUUAUAGUAAAAUAUGUAGUACUUUACUAUUCAUAACACAUUGUCACAACCAAGUUCUUAACUGAGGUAACAUAUAGAUCUUUCUUACUCAUAUCAACAUAUUGAAAGAAGUACAGCCUUGUGAAAUGCUGCUCUGAAUGUUCACAAAUAAAACAUUUCUGAAAACCUUCUCUAACUCUCAUCAGCUGCUAACAGGGAUAAAUGUCAAUCUUUUAUUGCGCUACAUAGGUUGAAGAGCUAUUAAACUAGGUUACAGUUUGCUUUUUAUCCUACAGGAAACUUAUACUUCAACUUGUCCUGUUUCAAAAAAAAAAAAUGUUGAAGAUAAAGACCAAAACAAUCUUUUUACUCCCUAUAACUGAGUGCGGCAGAAACUAUUACAAAACGGAAAUCUUUAACAUACAGCAUUUCUUUCUCGGAUGAAUUAUUCAACAUUCAUAUAAUUGCAGAUUCUAACUAAACGCAUUUGAAAAUCUACACCUAGAAUCUGGCCGUGCUAUUGCAGACAGAGGCUCAGGAAUCUCGUCAGGGCCUCUCCUUUUGAGUCCAACAUGUAGUUUCUCAGAUUUAAAAUAAAAAGUUUGCUAAUGACAAAUUGUCCUGUGUAUCCAUUAAAAUCAUUACAUAUUUUCUAUUAAAUUUUUACUUUAACUGACAGGAUUCCCCAAUGACAGUUCAUUCAUUACAUUCAAAAUAUUUUUUUAUCUCUGCCUAGUAUCUGAUACUAGAUAAACUAGUAUUUGGUUUAACUAUAUUUAAAGUCAAUUCUGUGGCUCUAUAUACCUGGGGUCUAUUUUAUAUGAGAAUUGCCUUUUAUAUAUGGAGGGCUGAGCUCAGCCUGAAAUUCUUUCCAGAUUCACUCCUUUUAUGUUCUCUUCUGUCUGAAAGGAUUUUCUUAUGGCAACUGCUACAGCCACAUUGUCAAUUCUUAUCAUUCUUUUUUUAAACCAUCAUCAUAUCCCAGAGCUUGUCACCUAGAAACGGUAAAGCUUUACAGAGGUCACACAGAGAAUCCUUAAGCCUAAAACUUAAGUUUCUUGAUGUAUCUCAUUGAGUACUUCUAAAUGUAUUUUUAGAAUUUUUCCAUUCCCCUUCCCAGUCGUUUUUUGAUCUUUGGGCUAGCUGUAUAAAAAUAUCCUGCUUUUGACCUGAAAAUUCUUGACUUACUUUAGUCUCCCAAUCUUAGCAGAUACCUUCUGAAAUGUUUUCCUUCAAACAUAAAUCUCCUCCUUGCACCACUAGAUUACAUGUAGUUUUGAAACUAAAUACCACACUGAAAUCAGAAUCCUACAGUCCUCCAGCCUCUUUGUACUCCUCUUGGUUGAGGCAUACAGCCAGAUCCUUGAGUGUCAAUGCAAUCUGGUAUGUGGAUAUCAUACUUCCAUUAGUUAACCUCUCUUUCUUGUUCUUAGUGAAGUUCACAUUUCGUAGAAUGCAGAUAACCUUCUUCAAGUAUUUUACUAAAAUCUUCCCUCAGGGUCACCAUCUUCUCACUGGUCCCUAGAUUUGUGACUUCACCACGUCCUGAGUGCCUCUAACAGGAUGGUCAAGUAGUGUCCCAGUACCAGCAACUCCAAAAUCUAUACCUCAUAUCUGGUCUCUCUACUGCAAGCAGAGCCUCUAGGGGCUAUUCUGGGCUUUCUUAUGAGUCCUCAAACUACCCAAUUCCUGCAAACAGUUUCAGGGCCAAGUCUGAUUUCUCCUUUCCUUGGGGUCAACCAUAAAUUUUAUGACCUUGUUUUGGUCAUGAUCAGAGAUUGAAGGUUGGCCACCUCAAUCAGAAUUGUCAAUCUAGGGUUCUUAAACAACUUUCUCUCCAGAAUGAAGAAAAUGAUCUUUAGGCUGAAGCGUGUAUAAUACACUUUACAAAGUGUUCAAGGUCGAAACAAAUUGGUCAGAAUUAGGAGUUCUCAACAGCCUAAGUCAAAAUCCUACUCUUUAGUAAUGUCCAAAGCUUAGACUCAACCAAGUAAGCAUACAAGGAUACCAGAAAUACUAGCACAGAUGAAAAGACAGAAGUAUCACCUUUCUUUCAGGGACCCAAUUAGAGUGCAUUAGGUACAUAUGUUUAUUUUUCUCCCAUAUAUCUCGGAACUAAGGUAACCCUGUAAUUUUUCCCCCACUGCUUCCCUGUGGCCAAUAAGUUAAAAUUUCCUUGGCAUAAAACAAGGCCUCCACAGCUGGCCCAAAGGCACCUACCUUCAUCUCUUAAUCAUGCUUUCCUGUUUUGCCCAAACCAAACACUCAGCAAUUUCUAGAAUUUGGUGCGUUCUUCAGUAUGGCAUGCUCUUUCUCUAUAGCUUGAGUGCCCAUCCCUUUCUUUUCAGCCUCACGAACUCCUAUUAAUCCUUUAGGACACAAACAGUACCACCUCAGACAGAGUAGACCACUCUUAUUCUGGUUCUAAUUAGUACCUAUUUAUUAUAGCACUUAUCACAUUGUAAUUAUCAGGUUGUUUUUUUUGUUUGUUUCUCCAUUUCCUUGAAUAAGAACUUCUAGAAGAUAGGGAAAGUAAGUCAUUAAUCUCUGUAUAUCCAAGGCCUAGCACAGUGCCUGGCAUUCAUUAAAUGUCACUUCAAAAAUGAAUGAAAUUUUGUAAAGGCUCUCCUUCACUAUAAACAUCUACCUCUGCAACCACACAGGUCUCCAUCUCACCAGCAAGGCUGGAUCAGUGGUUAUGUCACAAAAACAUCAGCUUUGUAGAAAUGAUUGAUUUUAUAGCUUAUGGAAAUAUGCUAAUGUGGCUAAAAUAGCUUAAACCUUAAAACAGUUGAAUAUCUUACCUUUCAAUAAGGCAGUACUUUUUCCUUCAGCAAUUUUGUGGAUCUUAAGGUCCCAGGAUCAGGAGAUUCCAACUUCUUUCCAAACCAAAACCUUUAUACUUGUUUCUUCCUCCUCUCUGUCCUGAGCCUUGAUAAGCAGGGCAAUAAGCUCCUUGUUUCUAAUCUCUAGAGGAAUAAAUGGUGCUUCUGCUGGUGUCCACUCCAUUCCCAAUCCUCUUGGGCAUAGGCAGGAGGACUGGAACAUAACCACCAGUAUCUAGAUCAAAAGUGAACAAGAGGAAACCCACAAGCAAAGAAAGUACUGAAUCCUCCCUUCGCUUACGAAAAUGAUCAUCCCACCUCCCCAGAGGCAAAAAUAUAUUAUGUUCUUGCCUUUGAAAGAGAUAAUGAAUUGCUUGACCUCAAUAAACAUAACUUGCAAUAAUCUGAUAUUGCAACCAGUUUUACAUUAAAAUUUUUCUAUUACACAAAAUGUAGAAACCAUUUUAAGAUGGUAAAGGCCAGGAAUCAAUAAUAUAUGAAAACCUAGUAAUACUUUAUUCAUUCUUAAAAGUAUAUAUUAAUCCUAUUAUUAAAAAACAUACACAAAGGAUCCUUUAGAAAGAAUACACUUUGUCCCUCUAAAGUUUUUUUCCAGGUCAUUACAGCCUACUAAAGAGGAAGAAAAUGAACUGUUACCUCUUUUCUUAUUCCCUGACUACCCAGUCACUAGUAUGCCUAUCUUCUCCUAUGUCUUCACAUUCUAUAUGUGGUCUCAACAACUUCCACGGUUUGGAAUAUCACCUAUGUAACUUGUGAUGCUCACAUCUGUUUUUGCUGCUGUCUUCUAUUUCCAACUAUCUCCUGAACAUUUUCUAAACGUAACGUAAAUAUCUCAAAUUCAGCAUGCUCAAAAACUAAAACCUGUUCCUCUGUAUUUCAGAUAGUAGUUAUCAUCAUCUACUUAGUCACCUGAGCUUUUAAAAAUUUUAGCCAUUUUCCACUUAGGAAAUAAUUAUACAGGGCACUAGGGCUUGUGUUGAACACAAAGGUAGAUAAAAAGACAAGUAAGAUAAUGUCUUGGCCUUAAGAACCUUCCCAUUUGAAGAAUCUAGCAAGCAAGAAAAGCAUAAUACAAUGUACUAUGGAAAAGGACUAACUAUGCCUCGAACCACUGUCAAUGAAAUUUACAGAAGAGAUGAAAUGAGAGCUGGAUCUGGAAAUACAAGAUGUGAUGAAAUUUUUUCCAAGCAAAGGGAGCACCAAAUAUUAUUGACUCAGUGCAGCUUGAGCAUUGGGAAAACUUAGGAAGAGAAGAGUAGUAAAUGUGGCUAAGAGGUAGGUUUGGUUAAGAACUUUUGAGGAUCUUAUAUCCAUGCUAACAAGUCAGGGUGCUAUGUCUGUGCUAUUCAAAAAAGAAAUAUUUUAAAGUAUGAAAACAAAAGCAUAGAGUAGAAGUAUAUUUUUGAAAGACAACUCUGGUAGUAUGAAUGUAAAGAAUGAGGGAGAAACAGAUUAGAGACUAAGAGUAAAUAGGAUUUGGUGAUGAAACGGGUGUAAAAAUCAAAGGAGAUGUUGAUCAUGAUACUGAAGUUUCUCCCUAUAGUUACUGUGUGGACCAUGUUGUUACUAAGAUAAAAAACAGAGGAAGAGGACAGUGAGUUUGGAGAAGAUACAGGGAAAAAUUGGGGAAUAUUUUGAAAUAGGGGGGACCCACUUACUAAUCAUCCUUUUCAGUGGAAUACUGAAGCUUCCAGAGAUUAUCUAUUCAUGCUGGGGGUGUGUGCUUUUGUUUAUCUUUGACUAAAUUAUUUUUAACUGGAGCCCUGGUGGUGCAGUGGUUAAGAGCUUGGCUGCUAACCAAAAGGUCAGCAGUUAGAAACCACCAGCCACUCUGGUCUACAGGGUUGUUAUGAGUCGGAAUCAACUUCACACCAACGGGUCUUGGGUUUUUUUUAACCUAUUUUAAGUAGCCCUGGUGGUGCAAUGGUUAAGAAAUUGGCUGCUAACCAAAAGGUUGGCAGUUCAAAUCCACCAGGCGCUCCUUGGAAACCCUAUGGGGCAGUUCUACUCUGUCCUGUAGGGUCACUAUGAGUCAGAAUUGACUCGACGGCCAAGUCUGGUUUUUUGCAGGGGGAGGGUUAGAGACAAAACUUGUAGAAAACUAAUAGUAAUGCAAAUAAUUCAUGUUCAGAGAAAGGCAAAUUGUGACUGUUGUUGUGUGCUGUGGAGUCAAAUCCGACUCACACAGAGUGGAACCACCUGAUAGGGUUUCCUAGGCUAUAAAUCUUUACCGAAGCAGACUGCCAUACUUUCUCCCAUGGAGCAGCUGGUGAGUUGGAACUGCUGACCUUUCAGUCAGCAGCUGGGAACUUAACCACUGCCACCAGCGCUCCUAUAAGUAGCUCCAGACCCUCUGAAGUCCAUGAAGAAUGAAAUGAGGGUCUUUGUGCUGUUGUCAACCUCUCAAACUGUUCAUUUACCCAGGACAAUUCUGCACAAGUGAAAUGAAAAUGUCAAGUGCUCAGUUUCUGGCUAGAAUUAUAGCAGCUCAGUAGUUUCCAUGUUGAUCAGGAGCUCUAACUGAUGACAUCAUGUGUCAGAUGGUUACAGAACCAGGACUAAACACAUCUGGUACAUAUAAUCAACCUUGGCCAUAAGUAGAGGAUAGCAACUGAAAUUAAGGAUUCAGCAAAAAUAAACACUUAUGGAUUCACACAGAAAUAGCAAACGUGACACAUACACUACCCUACCCUUCUUCUGGGCCCACAGGGGAAAUCACUAUCAAAGAUGUCACUCUCUGCCACUAAACCCAGGCAAGCCCUCAAAACUCUUAAUAAUGUUUUGGAUAGUCAUGACCAGAGUUGGCAUCUGAGGUGAAAACUAUUUGCCAUCCCUGGUCUAUACACUUACUUAAUUAGGCUGUUUAUCAGCCUCACAACUGUAACAGAAAUUUACAUCAUUUUAUAAUAUUCUUAGGAACACCCAAUUAUUAAGAAUUAUUAAAAUCUGGAUCAAUGUUAGAAAAUAAAAACAGUAGUACUAAUAUGUGCAAUUAAUUUUUUCUCCCAAACAAAGAGUUCCCAGAGGAAAUACAAUAAAAGUGAUUCUUGGUGGAGAAAACACUGACUCCACUAUACCUCACCAAACUACACCUCAUUCCUGGAACAAGCUUUGCAUAGUUAUGCCUCUAGGUUUUUGCUGAUCCAGUUUUCUCUUUAUCCAAAAUGUCCCUUCACUACAACCAAUGACUGCCCUGACAGAGAACACAACAGAGAAUCCCUGGUGAAGCAGAAGGGCAGUGGGACGCAGACCUCAAAUUCUUGUAAAAAGACCGGACUUAAUGGUCUGACUGAGGCUAGAAGGACUCCAGGGGUCAUGGUCCCCAAACCUUCUGUUAGCCCAAGACUGGAACCAUUCCCAAAGCCAACUCUUCAGACAGGGAUUGGACUGGACUAUAAAACAGAAAAUGAUACCGGUGAGGAGUGAACUUCUUGGCUCAAGUAGACGCAUGAGACUAUGUGGGCAGCUCCUGUCUGGAGGGGAGAGGAGAGGGCAGAGGGGGACAGAGGCUGGCUGAAUGGACACAGGGAAUACAGGGUAGAGAGAGGGAGUGUGCUGUCAUUAGAGAGAAAGCAACUAGGAGUAUAUAGCAAGGUAUAUAUAAUUUUUUGUAUGAGAGACUGACUUGAUUUGUAAACUUUCACUUGAAGCACAAUAAAAAAAAAUUUUUUUUAAAUGUCCGUUCAUUUGUUCUAGAUCCAGCUCAAAGAGUACAUUCUUCUCCAAUUCCCCAAGAAGAAAUAAUUGCUUCCUCUCAGUACAGCAGUAUAAUUAGGAAAUACUUAUAUAACUUAAAUAAAUAACAGCACAAUAAGCAUCUAUCUCCCGUGUUAUAGUAAGAGCUUAGAGGCAGGAACUGUGCCCUUUGCGUUGUUAUGGACUCCUCCCCCAGCACCUAUGUCAGUAAGGAGAUAAUGGGUUGAAUGAGAGAAUAUACUAAGAAACAGUAGCAUAACAGGGCAGAGAGUUUAGAGUCUCAUUUUCAGCCAAGCUCUCCCUGCCACAUCAACCAGACUGAUAAAAAGAAACAAGUGUUCUUGUGAUAUUUCCCUUCCAAGACAAGGCUGGAGUAGAAGGCUCUUCCUACACAUUCUUUCAACUUACCAGACAAUCCUCAGGCCGGUAAUAUUUCUAAGACCAUUUCUAUGGCCUUCUCUGUGAUCCUGCAAAAUAUGUAAAAUUCUACUACUUUCCCAUUUCUACCAAUCAUAGUUUUUCUAUGUGCAUCCUUUCCACCUGUUCCCUCAUCUGUUUAUUUCUAUGCCAUUCCUCAUAUUUCAUCCAAUUCUUAUCUGCAUUUAAAAAGGAUUAAUGCUCACACUUAAAAACCCUCAGAAUAUACUUUCUCCUUAAAGGUGGAAAUGCAGUGUUUCUCUCAUGCAGAAAUUUUCCAUUCAUACAUCCAGUCUACUUUACCUGUACCACUCACUCUUCAAAAACUACAAUUAACUUGGAGUGAAAGAGCAACAUAGGCGUCACAUAAUGGUCAAAAUACCAGAGAUCACUUUCAGUUUCCAUUCUAUCUGAAUCUAUCUCCAGAUAAGAGUUUUAAUUUAGUAAACAUUCAUUAUUUGAUGUGCCAGACACUGUGCUAAGUGCUAUGGAUAUACAUACAAAAAAUGAGGAACAUGGUUUAGUGGAGAAAGGGGAAGGACUACUCAAUAUUUACAGUGCAGUGCGAUAAGUGCUAUAUUCACAUAAAAACACAUAGGCAGGACUAAACUUUCCGCCCCAUAAGAUCCAAUUUUGACAAGACAAGUAAGAGUCCAUUUACUUAACUUCCAAAGUCCGUGAAUUCCCUGAAUCCCAGUAGUCAAAUACACUAAAUAUUACUAGGUUUUAGCAGUGUGUGAAAACAUAAUUUGAAGUCCUCCUGAGACCUGGAAUUGUAAGUUAUUUGGAAAUAUGAACUAAGUGUGAUUUGGUGAAAGCAUCUGACCAUUUUUAGCCAUCCUUUUUCUGAUUUUCCUCAAUCUCUCUAUGCACAGGUAGAAUCUUCACUGCUAAAACAGGAACAGCCAGCUGUGAUAAUACCUUCUUGUCUUGUCUUACCCACCGUAUUUAAAUCACAUUACUGUACUUACUUUUUAAGAACCACCAUUUAAAUUUCUCUUAAACAGGCAUUUAUUUGACCAGGACCUCAGAGUCAUAAACCCACCAAUGUCUUGCACAAAUACAGUUCCCAUUUUGGCCACACAUAUAUUAUCAACAUUGGGAGAUCUCUGGUUAUUGUAAGUAUUGGUGGAACUCCAAUGUAAGGUUAUAAUGAGGAUAGACCACAGCAUCUAAGAUCAUACACAUUAAAAAGUAUUAAGAGAUUUGAACAGACCAAUAAUAAGAGAAAUUGAGAAGGUUAUCAAAAAACUGUAGCAAGAGAAAAAAGGUUCUUGGCUCCAAUGAAUUUACAAUUAACCUUCCAACUUUCAAAAAAGAGAUCACUGCUGUUACAUAAACUGGUCCAGAGAUGGAAGCUACCUAUUCAUUCUACAAAGUAAAUAUAAAAUCAACUUUUCCCCGACAUAACAGCAAUAACUGACGAUGGCUGCAAAGGAGGACUACUCUUUCCAUGCCACUUUUGCUAGCUCUAUUUUUAUAGAUAAGUGUACCCUUCAAAGGUUUUACUGUUAAUCUUUAUGAAGAAAGAGAUACAGUACAACAAAAAGAGCAAACGGAAGUAAAAAAACUAAAAGUUUACGGUUGUGGUCUCAGGUCUGCAGUUCCUGCCUCCAUAAGACAAUAUAUGGAAUUCUCAGUAGGCUUUUGCAUCCCAUUUGUAUUUCAGAACCACUGGAACUCACCAACUUCUCCCACUAUUCCAUCUGACCUUCCUUUAGCAAAGAUCACCUGGACCUUUCCUCCCUCACAAGUCAUCUUUCCAACCUGAGGCUAUAAUCCAAGUAAAACAAUAGUCCUAUCCACAUCACCUUAAAAGGAUUAAUUUAGAAGGCUGGGGCCCUCCAAACUGGAUGACUUUAAUUCAUUAGAUCUUUGUAUUGCCCAGAAAUUAUAUUCUCUGGCAAUUUCCUCACAAUUCUCCAUUAUGACAGAAAUUAAACCAGACCACUGUUUGUUGUAAUAAUUUCUUCCACAGUGAGCCAAAGUCUUUUCUUAUUCCAAGAGAGGACCUCUGCAGUGAUGUAAACAGCUCCUGGAGAUACUCCACUUGAAAACUGAAUCUGUGUCCACCUAUAUAACGUUAAACUGGAGUUUUCAUAGAACACAGCCAGGUAUGAUUUCCAGGGGCCCAAACUAUUCCCAGACAUCCCUUUUCUCUCACAGAUAAUUGUCAUUCCUUUGCAGUAAUACUUUAAGGUAGAAGAGCUAUAGAACACUCCUCCCAAUUUGAGUUCCAUUUGGAGGCAUCUGUACCUACAACAAACAUCCUGUUGGGAGUCAAGGGUAAAAGCACUACUCUCUCCAGACAGACUAGUUUUUAACUGGCCCAAAGUUCCUUGUUCUUGAGUGGACAAAUUAUUUAUCUGGAUUUUUAUUAGCUGACACAUCAGAGCUAAAAUUUAGGGAUCAAAACCUUUAGAGGCAACCAAAUCAGUACCCUAAAUUUGCCCUAAAGUCUCUUCAAGAAGAUGGCAAGAAUAUUUAGAAGCCUUGCUCCCUCCCAGCAAGAAUUUCUCUGUGGUCUCUAUUCCUACCCCCAAUCUUGCAUUUGUUUUCAAAGUUCUUACUAACAUGCUCACCAUUCUCAUGUCAAGCCUACCUAUCUCUAAUCUCACCAAACCCAGCAGAAGGCAACAGGUGCCAGUGUUUCUGCUGGCCUUUCCUCUCCAAGUUCUCCAUCUGUCCAGGGCUCCCUUAUGCAACAGUAGAGCUUUGGAGCACAAAGGGUAAAGCCUCUGCAGCUUCUCUGGACCUCUAUCUUCCCUCAAAGCAUAAAAAAGAACUUAGGGCUUUAUAUGCUGGACUACCCUGGAUGGAAAGAUUUCUUUCCCAUUUUUCUCAAACCUUUCCUCAGUCUCUCUUUAAUAAGCCCUCUGGUCGUAACUUUUCCCAGCCCUCACCUAUACCUCAAUUAAUUGCCAAUAAAAAUUACAAUCUAAUUAAUGCUAAUGAGAAUUCAGUAAAUUAGGCCUGCUCAUUAAUUACUGUAAAUUCUCCAAACUGCUCUGUAAAUCAUGAAUAAAGAGCCUUUAACUCCUUGACUCAGUAUUUUGACCUCUGGAAAACUAAUCUGAAGAAACAAUCCAUGGUUAAAUUAGAAUUCAUCCACACAAAGCACUGCAUUAAAAGCAGAUUAUAUACAACAACAACAAAAAAAAAAACCUUGCAAUUACAACAGCUGUUGUAUUAGCACGAUGGGG